UACAGCCAUGACACCGGAAUGCACCUGAUCUUGUCUCAUCUCAGAAGCUAAGCAGGGGCAGGCCUGGUUAGUC
ensembl:rRNA predicted gene, 26216